rnacentral:lncRNA from 1 species
UUCUCUCCGUCGCUAGAUCUCCAACCCCCUUAGCUGUUCGGAGGACCGACCGGUCACUCCUAAUCUCCAGUCGCGCCCAUCUUCUUCUCCCACCUCCUAUCUCCUCCUCUUUGUGGGGUUCCGUUGUCUUCGCCCCUUGACCGACGAGGAAGUUGAGUGAAAUCGAAGAAAAGGGAUUUUGAGAGAAUUUUUUAUUUUUUCCCCCAA